GUGGCCUUUUAAGAUUGAUUCAGUGCUUUAAGAGACUAACGCAGAAGGGUAAAGUAAGUCUCCAUAAAACUCAGAGAAGAGAUGAUAAAAAUCCUCUUUAAAUCCUGUCUGGAGUCACAGCU
rnacentral:snoRNA from 1 species